UACGUAGGGGGCAAGCGUUGUCCGGAAUCAUUGGGCGUAAAGCGCGUGUAGGCGGCUUCGUAAGUCCGUUGUGAAAGUCCAGGGCUCAACCCUGGAAUGCCGGUGGAUACUGUCGGGCUCGAGUUCGGAAGAGGUGAGUGGAAUUCCUGGUGUAGCGGUGAAAUGCGCAGAUAUCAGGAGGAACACCGGUGGCGAAGGCGGAUCUCUGGGCCAUUACUGACGCUGAGGAGCGAAAGCGUGGGGAGCGAACAGG
rnacentral:rRNA from 1 species